GCCUUCGUGGUGUAAUGGUAGCACACUUGGCGUAUAUCCAAGAUGUCCAGGUUCAAAUUCCGGCGAGGACA
rnacentral:tRNA from 1 species